GUGAACGCUGGCGGUAGGCCUAACACAUGCCAGUCGAACGGCAGCACAGUAAGAGCUUGCUCUUACGGGUGGCGAGUGGCGGACGGGUGAGGAAUACAUCGGAAUCUACUUUUUCGUGGGGGAUAACGUAGGGAAACUUACGCUAAUACCGCAUACGACCUACGGGUGAAAGCAGGGGAUCUUCGGACCUUGCGCGAUUGAAUGAGCCGAUGUCGGAUUAGCUUGUUGGCGGGGUAAAGGCCCACCAAGGCGACGAUCCGUAGCUGGUCUGAGCGGAUGAUCACCCACACUGAAACUGAGACACGGUCCAGACUCCUACGAGAGGCAGCAGUGUGGAAUAUUGGACAAUGGGCGCAAGCCUGAUCCAGCCAUACCGCGUGGGUGAAGAAGGCCUUCGGGUUGUAAAGCCCUUUUGUUGGGAAAGAAAAGCAGCAGGUUAAUACCCCGCUGUUCUGACGGUACCCAAAGAAUAAGCACCGGCUAACUUCGUG
rnacentral:rRNA from 1 species